UCUUGGAGGUCGCCAUUUCUCUCUUCUGUUGAUCAAGUUUUCUUCUUCUUUCUUCUGCUUAUCAGGGUUUCUUCCUUUCCUUUUUUCUGAAAAUUGCAUUUAUUGUGUGACCUAUGUAUUGUCAUUAUUCUUGCUUCAUUGGUCGUGUUGAUAUUCUGGGUUUGGCCCGACAUUGUGUUUUCUUUUGCCUCAUGCCAUUCAUAUUUUGUGGUUGCGUGUGGACAUGAUUUGCGCACUUAUUUCAAUUGUUAGCCGUGUAUCAUGGUGUGCUUUGCCUGCUUUUUCAUGCUUGUGUGAAUUGACCAUGGUCUGUUCUUGUUGGGGUAAAGCCUGAACUGCCGGGUACACUUUGCUUAUUGUCCUUAUUCUGGUUGUCCUUGGCAUCUUUCUAUCAGUGGAGAUCCUUGUUUUCAAAUAGUAGGGAUAGAGGGACAGAAAAGACAUAUUUGUCGCGGCGCUGCAAGUGUUGCCCCCCUCCUCCCCAAGGGCAAGUUGAAGGAAGGUGUCUGUGUGGUUCUUCUGCAGUUCACAGCGAGGAUUGCUGUGUCCAACCUGCACAAGAAUGCCAAGAAAUCCUUCUCGGAGAUGAUUAAGGACAUGUACCUGCACUACAACGAGAGAUCUGGGCUGCUUCUUUGUGGCUUCCAAACUUGAAAUGUUUGUUUGGAAGUUAGUUUAGUUUUUUGUUGUGGAUUCACAGCUUCUCACAUGUACCAUCCUCUUAGACCUUUAGAUUUCCAAAGAAACUAAAUGGAGAUAUGGUGGUAUGGUCUCAAUAGUACAACUUAAAGCCUUCCAUGCUU